rnacentral:rRNA from 1 species
GGUUCGAUCCUGGCUCAGAUUGAACGCUGGCGGGAUGCUUUACACAUGCAAGUCGAACGGCAGCACGGACUUUAAGCCCGGUGGCGAGUGGCGAACGGGUGAGUAAUGUAUCGGAACGUGCCGUAAAGGGGGAUAACUGAAGCGAAAGCGGUAGCUAAUACCGCAUACGCCCUUCGGGGGAAAGCGGGGGACCUUCGGGCCUCGCACUAUUAGAGCGCCGAUAUCGGGAUUGUUAGUUGGUGGGGUAACGGCUCACUCGUUGGGGCGACGAUCCGUAGCUGGUUUGAGAGGACGACCAGCCACACUGGGACUGAGACACGGCCCAGACUCCUACGGGAGGCAGCAGGGGGGAAUUUUGGACAAUGGGGAAACCCUGAUCCAGCCAUCUCCGCGUGUGCGAUGAAGGCCUUCGGGUUGUAAAGCACUCCCGGCAGGAAGAAAACGGCACGGGAUAAUACCCCGUGCAACUGAUAAAAUUCUUGGGUAGCGGCGACUCACAACUACGUGCCAGCAGCCGCGGUAAUACGUAGGGUGCAAGCGUUAAUCGGAAUUACUGGGCGUAAAGCGUGCGCAGGCGGUUCGGAAAGAAAGAUGUGAACCUAGAGCUUAAACUUUGGAACUGCAUUUUUAACUACCGAGCUAGAGUGUGUCAGAGGGAGGUGGAAUUCCGCGUGUAGCAGUGAAAUGCGUAGAUAUGCGGAGGAACACCGGAUGCGAAGGCAGCCUCCUGGGAUAACACUGACGCUCAUGCACGAAAGGGUGGGGAGCAAACAGGAUUAGAUACCCUGGUAGUCCACGCCCAACGAUGCUACAACUGGUUGUUGGGCCUUCGGGUUUGGUAAAGCAGCAACGGCGUGAAGUUGACCGCCUGGGAGUACGGUCGCAAGAUUAAAACCCAAAGGAAUUGACGGGGACCCGCACAAGCGGUGGAUGAUGUGGAUUAAUCUGAUGCAACGAAAACCAUCACCUCCUUGACAUGUCUGGAAUCCCGGAAGACUGGGGAUGCUCGGGACCCGGAACACAGGUGCUGCAUGGUUGCCGUCAGUCGUGGUCGAGAUGUUGGGUUAAGUCCUGCAACGAGAAGCGGCAACCCUGCCACGGUUAGUUGCUACGAAAGGGCACUUCAUCGAGACUGCCGGUGACAAAACCGGAGGAAGGUGGGACGACGUCAAGUCCCCAUGGCCCUUAUGGGUAGGGCUUCACAUCAGUCACACGGCCGUAUAGAGGGUCGCCAACCCUAUGAGGGGGAGCCAUCCUGAAACCUGAUCGUAGUCCGAUCGCAGUCUGCAACCCGACCGCGUGAAGUCGGAAUCGCUAGUGACCGCGGAUCAGCAUGUCGCGGUGAAUACGUUCCCGGGUCUUGUACACACCGCCUGUCACACACAUGGGAGUGGGUUUUACCAGAAGUAGUUAGCUCAACCGCGGCGGGAGGGCGAUUACGCUGGUAGAGAUCUAGCGACUGGUGAAGUCGUAACAAGGUAG